AACGCACAUUGCGCUCUUUGGUAUUCCGAAGAGCAUGCUUGUUUGAGUAUCAGUAAACACCUUCAAUCACUCAUUUUUUUUUUUUUAAAAAAAAUGGGAGACUGGAUAUGAGCGAACCCAACUAAAGCUUUCUUUUAUAAAAAAAGUCAGCUAUGGGGCGGGCCGCUUGAAAUUAAGGAAUGGCAGGACGUUCAAUGGAUCGACUGCGCUACUAGCAUUACUUACUUAGUCCGCAUUGCGGGUUAUUACUUAUUGCUGCAGCGAAAAUAAAAAGGUCGAUUUGGUCCCUUUGCCCUUUUACUGAUGCAGGGAACUUGUCGAAGGUAGGCAGGAAAAGAUUUCUCUUCCUUACUGUCCUCGAUAUUUAAAACUCGAUCUCAAAUCAAGUAGGACUACCCGCUGAACUUAA
rnacentral:misc_RNA from 1 species